ensembl:lncRNA
GGAAUACGUAUACAGAAAUACUCACACACUUGCACGCAUACAAUGCAUUUAUAUAACCAUAAAAAUGCAAAAUGCUUUAAAUAUGUGUAAUUUGAACAGUUGAUGCCCUCCUGCUGGUUUAGCAUUUGUGUUUGAGAAUGUUUUUCUGUAGUUCGACUAAAGAUUUGUUGUUCUCUGUAUCUCGCACGCUUACACGUGCAAGCACACUUGUCUAGUUCUAUCAUUCGUUUUCUUGGGGGUGGAGUAGCACUGGGCUCCCAGAAGGCCUCGAAAUGUGCAUUAUUUAUGGUGUUGCCUUGGUGAUUGGGUUGGUGGGCGGGGCCAGACAGCUGGUAGGCAAAGACACUCAAGUGAGUGAGUGUUUGUGUGUCUGUGUGUGUGUGUGUGUGUGUGUGUGUGUGUGUGUGUGUGUCUGGUAUAAUAGUUAUCAUAUGAGGAGUGAGUAGUUCAGCGGUGAGGUCACUGACCAGCCCUCUCCCUAUAGUUUACUGUGGAACCAGCACAGAGAGACGGGGAGAUUGGGGGAGAGAGUUUCUGUGUGGAUAAUUUAUUCAUGAACUAUUAUUUAACCAGGUGUGACAGAGCUAUGCAGUAUCACAGAGCAGCUGGUGUAUAGAGACUCUUACAGACGGGGGUUUAUGGAGCUGGAAGGACUAAGAGAACAUAACUUCCUCAUUCCGCUCCCAUACACAUUCAUCUUUAAACAGUAGCCACAGGGAGUAUCUGUCAGGAAAGUGUCCCACCUCGUCCAGC